rnacentral:lncRNA from 1 species
UCGGUUUGCGCAGGACAAUCAGCAGUUCAGAGAACUGCUUCCAACCUGCUUUCGAUCAGACGACAGGACAAUCAACAGUUGCUAGAACCGUUUCCAACCGGCCGAUCCUUGAACUCAAACUUCCGGCAAAAUCACCUUCAACCCUAUGCUCGAUCGUAGUGCUCCUCAAACAAGUGGUCGAGGCCUUGAGGGUAAGUCUCGCCGAGAACAAAGAGGUAUAGUCGAGUGGUUAUGUGGAUAAAUGCAUUCAUGACCUCAAUUACCAUCGUAAUUCAGAAGAUCAAGAAGCUCAAAAUGAAGAUUGUUCAUGAAGCAAUCGAACGAACCCGUCGUUCAGAAGUUGAACUGUUCGUGUGAUUUACAAACAAGAAUCUGAUAGCAAUUAGCAACAUUCUUUGUUCAGACUUGCUUUUUAACAAAUAAAAGCAUAUUUUUUAUAUCAAGCUAUCACAAAAACUAAGAUAAAGUGUCCUAAAAAGUAGAAAUCAUACACAUAUUGUUAUACAAAUUCUUUAUUUCAUAUUUCAUAUUGAAAUAUAUAACAGGUUGGAACAGUUGCACAUCACUGGUUACUGAUCCCACAUUAGGUGGGUAAGAGAAUUAGGCUAUAGGGUGUGGUCAUGACC